rnacentral:rRNA from 1 species
CAGUAGCCAACGGGAAUACGAAGGGGGCUAGCGUUGCUCGGAAUCACUGGGCGUAAAGGGUGCGUAGGCGGGUCUUUAAGUCAGGGGUGAAAUCCUGGAGCUCAACUCCAGAACUGCCUUUGAUACUGAAGAUCUUGAGUUCGGGAGAGGUGAGUGGAAUUGCGAGUGUAGAGGUGAAAUUCGUAGAUAUUCGCAAGAACACCAGUGGCGAAGGCGGCUCACUGGCCCGAUACUGACGCUGAGGCACGAAAGCGUGGGGAGCAAACAGGAUUAGAUACCCCGGUAGUCCCUGUCUCUUAUA